UGGGGAAUAUUGCACAAUGGGCGAAAGCCUGAUCCAGCAAUGCCGCGUGUGUGAAGAAGGUCUUCGGAUUGUAAAGCACUUUCGACGGGGACGAUGAUGACGGUACCCGUAGAAGAAGCCCCGGCUAACUUCGUGCCAGCAGCCGCGGUAAUACGAAGGGGGCUAGCGUUGCUCGGAAUGACUGGGCGUAAAGGGCGUGUAGGCGGUUUACACAGUCAGAUGUGAAAUCCCCGGGCUUAACCUGGGAGCUGCAUUUGAUACGUGUAGACUAGAGUGUGAGAGAGGGUUGUGGAAUUCCCAGUGUAGAGGUGAAAUUCGUAGAUAUUGGGAAGAACACCGGUGGCGAAGGCGGCAACCUGGCUCAUGACUGACGCUGAGGCGCGAAAGCGUGGGGAGCAAACAGGAUUAGAUACCCUGGUAGUCCACGCUGUAAACGAUGUGUGCUAGAUGUUGGUUAACUUUGUUAUUCAGUGUCGCAGUUAACGC
rnacentral:rRNA from 1 species